rnacentral:lncRNA from 10 species
GCUGCCUGCCAGUCCCGCGCCGUGCGCCCGCGGCUUGGUCAUACUUCAAUCCUGAAGUGAGAGCUAAUAUGGUGGGAACUGGGGGAAGAUGACCCUAGCUUCUUCCUGUUGGCAAGGGGCACAGUUGAGGUAAGAGUCAGGAUUAGAGGAAUGACUGUAUCAUAUAUAUGUAAUUUAGUUUUGUGUUUAUUUCAUAAUGUACAUUCUGCUUGGCAAUAUUGAUAAUGAUAGCCCACAUUUAAUGAGCACCUAUAAUUAAACAGACACUAUUCUAAGCACUAUUCAUUCAUUAGCUCAUAUAGUUGUUCCAAUAACCAGAUUGGGUUGCUAUUUUUAUUAUUAUAUUUAUUUUGCAAAUGAAAAAACUGAGGCACAGAAAGCUCAAAUGCCACAAG